rnacentral:rRNA from 1 species
UACGGAGGGUGCAAGCGUUGUUCGGAAUUACUGGGCGUAAAGCGCGUGUAGGCGGCUGCCUAAGUCUGAUGUGAAAGCCCGAGGCUUACCCUCGGAAGCGCAUUGGAAACUGGGCAGCUCGAGUAUCGGAGAGGAGGGUGGAAUUCCUGGUGUAGCGGUGAAAUGCGUAGAUAUCAGGAAGAACACCGGUGGCGAAGGCGGCCCUCUGGACGAAUACUGACGCUGAGACGCGAAAGCGUGGGGAGCAAACAGG